rnacentral:rRNA from 1 species
GAUGAACGCUGGCGGCGUGCCUAAUACAUGCAAGUCGAGCGAACAGACGAGGAGCUUGCUCCUUUGACGUUAGCGGCGGACGGGUGAGUAACACGUAGGUAACCUACCUAUAAGACUGGGAUAACUUCGGGAAACCGGAGCUAAUACCGGAUAAUAUUUCGAACCGCAUGGUUCGAUAGUGAAAGAUGGCUUUGCUAUCACUUAUAGAUGGACCUGCGCCGUAUUAGCUAGUUGGUAAGGUAACGGCUUACCAAGGCAACGAUACGUAGCCGACCUGAGAGGGUGAUCGGCCACACUGGAACUGAGACACGGUCCAGACUCCUACGGGAGGCAGCAGUAGGGAAUCUUCCGCAAUGGGCGAAAGACUGACGGAGCAACGCCGCGUGAGUGAUGAAGGUAUUCGGAUCGUAAAACUCUGUUAUUAGGGAAGAACAAACGUGUAAGUAACUGUGCACGUCUUGACGGUACCUAAUCAGAAAGCCACGGCUAACUACGUG